ensembl:misc_RNA Y_RNA Y RNA
GGCUGGUCUGAAGGUAGUGAGUUAUCUCACUUGAUUGUUUAUAGUUACAGAUUGAACUUGUUGUUCCACUCUUCCCUGCCUUCUCGCUGCUGCACUUGACUAAGUUUUUU